rnacentral:rRNA from 1 species
UGGGGAAUUUUGGACAAUGGGGGCAACCCUGAUCCAGCCAUGCCGCGUGAGUGAAGAAGGCCUUCGGGUUGUAAAGCUCUUUCGGACGGAACGAAAUCGCUUACAUGAACAAUGUAGGUGGAUGACGGUACUGUAAGAAGAAGCACCGGCUAACUACGUGCCAGCAGCCGCGGUAAUACGUAGGGUGCGAGCGUUAAUCGGAAUUACUGGGCGUAAAGCGUGCGCAGGCGGUGUUGUAAGCCAGGCGUGAAAUCCCCGGGCUUAACCUGGGAAUGGCGUUUGGGACUGCAAUGCUGGAGUGCGGCAGAGGGGGGUGGAAUUCCACGUGUAGCAGUGAAAUGCGUAGAGAUGUGGAGGAACACCGAUGGCGAAGGCAGCCCCCUGGGCCAGCACUGACGCU